AGAACGAACGCUGGCGGCAUGCCUAAUACAUGCAAGUCGAACGAACACUUCGGUGUUAGUGGCGCACGGGUGCGUAACGCGUGGGAAUCUGCCCUUGGGUUCGGAAUAACAGUUGGAAACGACUGCUAAUACCGGAUGAUAUCGAAAGAUCAAAGAUUUAUCGCCCAGGGAUGAGCCCGCGUAGGAUUAGCUAGUUGGUGAGGUAAAGGCUCACCAAGGCGACGAUCCUUAGCUGGUCUGAGAGGAUGAUCAGCCACACUGGGACUGAGACACGGCCCAGACUCCUACGGGAGGCAGCAGUAGGGAAUAUUGGACAAUGGGCGCAAGCCUGGAUCCAGCAAUGCCGCGUGAGUGAUGAAGGUCCGUUAGGGUG
rnacentral:rRNA from 1 species